UGGCACGUAGCUCAGUCUGGCUAGAGCCUAGGGUCGGGAGUUCAAAUCUCCCCGUGUCAA
rnacentral:tRNA from 1 species